UUUUAGCCGCGGGUGAAGCGACAUCCUUUUUUUGCUCUAAAUAAAAUAUCUUUUUAUAUGAAAUAUUGAAAGCAAAAAAAGAUAUAGCGGAACACGGGAAGACAU
rnacentral:sRNA from 1 species